rnacentral:rRNA from 1 species
AGUGCGUACUAGGUUCUUUGGCUUUUCGUCGGUUUUCUUGUCGUGGCCUUUACUGGUGGCGGCAAGUGGCUGACAAUUUUACUUUGAACAAAUCAGAGUGCUCAACACAGGCGUUUCGCUUGUGUGCUUUUGCAUGGAAUAAUAGAAUAUGACUUCGGUCUAGUUUUAUUGGUUUUAUAGAUCGUUGUAAUGAUUAAAAGAGACAAACGGGGGCAUUCGUAUUGUUGCGUGAGAGGUGAAAUUCUUGGACCGCAGCAAGACGACCUACAGCGAAAGCAUUUGCCAAGCUUGUCUUCAUUAAUCAAGAACGAAAGUCAGAGGAUCGAAGGUGAUCAGAUACCGCCCUAGUUCUGACCGUAAACGAUGCCAACUAGCGAUUCGCCGGUGGAAUAUUUGCCCUGGCGAGGAGCUUCCCGGAAACGAAAGUCUUCCGGUUCCGGGGGAAGUAUGGUUGCAAAGCUGAAACUUAAAGGAAUUGACGGAAGGGCACCACCAGGAGUGGAGCCUGCGGCUUAAUUUGACUCAACACGGGAAAACUCACCCGGCCCGGGCACUAUAAGGAUUGACAGAUUGAUAGCUCUUUCAUGAUUUGGUGGAUGGUGGUGCAUGGCCGUUCUUAGUUCGUGGAGUGAUUUGUCUGGUUUAUUCCGAUAACGAGCGAGACUCUGGCCUACUAAAAAGUUCGCUCAUUGUUUUGUGUAGCGAUACUUCCUAGAGGAAUUUUCGG